rnacentral:rRNA from 1 species
AUUGAACGCUGGCGGCAGGCCUAACACAUGCAAGUCGAGCGGGGUUUUCGGACCUAGCGGCGGACGGGGGAGUAAUGCGUAGGAAGCUACCCGAUAGAGGGGGAUACCAGUUGGAAACGACAGUUAAUACCGCAUAAUGUCUACGGACCAAAGAGUGGGACCUUCGGGUCACAUCCUAUCGUAUGCGCCUACGUGGGAUUAGCUAGUUGGUGAGGUAAUGGCUCACCAAGGCGACGAUCCCUAGCUGGUUUGAGAGGAUGAUCAGCCACACUGGAACUGGAACAGGGUCCAGACCCCUAGAGGAGGCCGCAGUGGGGAAUAUUGGACAAUGGGCGCAAGCUUAAUCCAGCAAUGCGGCGUGUGUGAAGAGGGCCUUAGGGUUUUAAAGCACUUUCAGUAGGGAGGAAGCGUUGUAUGUUAAUAGUACACUGCGUUGACGUUACCUACAGAAGAAGCACCGGCUAACUCUGUGCCAGCCGCCGCGGUAAGAC